GUGCCCAGAUGGGAUUAGCUAGUUGGUGAGGUAACGGCUCACCAAGGCGACGAUCCCUAGCUGGUCUGAGAGGAUGACCAGCCACACUGGAACUGAGACACGGUCCAGACUCCUACGGGAGGCAGCAGUGGGGAAUAUUGCACAAUGGGCGCAAGCCUGAUGCAGCCAUGCCGCGUGUAUGAAGAAGGCCUUCGGGUUGUAAAGUACUUUCAGCGGGGAGGAAGGUGUUGUGGUUAAUAACCGCAGCAAUUGACGUUACCCGC
rnacentral:rRNA from 1 species